rnacentral:rRNA from 1 species
AGAGUUUGAUCGUGGCUCAGGAUGAACGCUAGCGGCGCGCUUAAUGCAUGCAAGUCGAGCGAUGAGGCUCUCUUCGGAGAGUACAUCAGCGGCAGACGGGUGAGUAACACGUAGAUAACCUACCCUCAAGACGGGGAUAACCGGUGGAAACAGCGGCUAAUACCCGAUAGGCUCACGUGAUCGGGAGGUCAAGUGAGGAAAGGCUGCGGUGCUUGAGGAGGGGUCUGCGGCCCAUCAGCUAGUUGGUGAGGUAACGGCUCACCAAGGCGAAGACGGGUAGGGGGUGUGAGAGCACGACCCCCCACAAUGGGACUGCGACACGGCCCAUACUCCUACGGGAGGCAGCAGCAGGGAAUAUUGCGCAAUGGACGGAAGUCAGACGCAGCGACGCCGCGUGGGUGAGGAAGGCCUUCGGGUUGUAAAGCCCUUUUCUGGAGGGCGAGGCAGGACGGUACUCCAGGAAUAAGCGUCGGCUAACUACGUGCCAGCAGCCGCGGUAAGACGUAGGACGCAAGCGUUAUCCGGAUUUACUGGGCGUAAAGCGCCUGUAGGCGGCGGGAUAAGUCGGAUGUGAAAGCCCCGUGCUCAACGCGGGGAAGCCAUUCGAUACUGUCUGGCUAGAGAGCGGGAGAGGGAAACGGAAUUUCUGGUGUAGCGGUAAAUGCGCAGAGAUCAGAAGGAACACCGAUGGCGAAGGCAGUUUCCUAGGCCGUAUCUGACGCUGAGAGGCGAAAGCUAGGGGAAGCGACAGGAUUAGAGACCCUGGUAGUCCUAGCUGUAAACGCUGGAUGCUAGGUGUGGGCCAGAGCGGUCCGUGCCGGAGUUAACGCGAUAAGCAUCCCGCCUGGGGAGUACGGCCGCAAGGCUAAAACUCAAACGAAUUGACGGGGACCCGCACAAGCAGCGGAGCGUGUGGUUUAAUUCGAUGCUACACGCAGAACCUUACCUGGGCUUGACAUGUAGGUGGUAGUGAAGUGAAAGCGGAGCGACCCUUCGGGGAGCCUACACAGGUGCUGCAUGGCUGUCGUCAGCUCGUGCCGUGAGGUGUCGGGUUAAGUCCCGUAACGAGCGCAACCCUUGUCCUUAGUUACAAGUGUCUAAGGAGACUGCCGGUGACAAACCGGAGGAAGGUGGGGAUGACGUCAAGUCAGCAUGGCCCUUAUGUCCAGGGCGACACACACGCUACAAUGGUCGGUACAAAGGGCAGCGCAGCCGCGAGGUGAAGCGAAUCCCAACAAAGCCGAUCCCAGUUCGGAUUGCAGGCUGCAACCCGCCUGCAUGAAGCCGGAGUUGCUAGUAACCGCGCGUCAGCCAUAGUGCGGUGAAUACGUUCCCGGGUCUUGUACACACCGCCCGUCACGUCAUGGGAGUCGGUAACGCCUGAAGCCGGAAGUCUGACCCGCAAGGGAGGGCGCCGUCGAAGGCGGGACUGGCGACUGGGACGAAGUCGUAACAAGG